rnacentral:rRNA from 1 species
UAAGGAAUAUUGCGCAAUGGGCGACAGCCUGACGCAGCGACGCCGCGUGGGGGAUGAAGGUCUUCGGAUUGUAAACCCCUUUCGGCAGGGAAGAUGGAACGGGUAACCGUUCGGACGGUACCUGCAGAAGCAGCCACGGCUAACUUCGUGCCAGCAGCCGCGGUAAUACGAAGGUGGCAAGCGUUGUUCGGAUUUACUGGGCGUACAGGGAGCGUAGGCGGUUGGGUAAGCCCUCCGUGAAAUCUCCGGGCCUAACCCGGAAAGUGCGGAGGGGACUGCUCGGCUAGAGGAUGGGAGAGGAGCGCGGAAUUCCCGGUGUAGCGGUGAAAUGCGUAGAGAUCGGGAGGAAGGCCGGUGGCGAAGGCGGCGCUCUGGAACAUUUCUGACGCUGAGGCUCGAAAGCGUGGGGAGCAAACAGGAUUAGAUACCCCCGUAGUCCCUGAGCGGGCUGGCAAGGCGCAU